GCAGAAUGAAAUGAGCUCAGGGCAAUUAUGAAAUAUUGAAAAAAGUCCAGCAUCAUAAUUAUUACAAAAGCACUUUUGUAUGUAUCUUUCAAAUGCCAAACAUGUUGUUUUUCUAUUUUACAUUAUUUUACAUAGUUAAAUAACAGAAUAUAUUGGAUGAAAUCUUAGAGAUGCGACAAAAUAAUGUAGCCACCAAACCCGUUCGCAUUUACGCAACUGUUCAUAAAAGACAUAAAAUGAAUGUUAUAAGGGGAGGAAAAUAAAAUAAUGUCAAAAAGCAAAACAUCUUCUCAAUUCCCUAUCCAUUGAUCUCUCGUGAAUGCGAGCGAGUUUAGUGUCAUCUAAAGUCAUAUUUUAUAUUUAAAUUUUAUAUGCAAGGACGCUGGAACAAUUAGGCAACCAUUUCUCCAAUUCGACAAUAUUUCAUUAAAAGAAAUAUUUCUUAUAAUCUCAAACGUCCAUUAUCACUUAGACAUACUGUAUCAGCCUCUAGAAUAAUAUAAACUGAGAUGGAAAGCAUUCCAUACGAAAAAC